rnacentral:pre_miRNA from 1 species
AUUGUACUUCAUCAGGUGCUCUGGUCAAUCGUACGUAAACGUUUCCUUUGUGGAAAUCAUAUUCCCGGCACCUGCUGGAGUGCAAUUG